UCUUUUUUGUGAUUUCAACAAUUCUUCAUCCAUUCUCUGCAGAUUGUCCUACUUACUAUAGGACAACCCAAGACUUGACUAGGAUGUGUGAAGCUUCAAGAUAACUAAACUCACCUCAGGAAGCAGUCAUUUCGUUCUCCUGACUUGGGAGAAGGAAGAUUCUAAGCCCCUCGAAAGCCUUCUCUCCAACUUAACUCCCCACCUAGAGCUGCCUCAACACCUGUUGGAAAUUUUCUCACCACUUCUUGGACAUUCCUUCCAGAGGAUCCAGUUGUCAGUGUUACCACAGAACCCCAACUUAACACACCAGCUCAGAGAUCUGUUCUCAGAAGGGCUGGUCACUAAGGAAAUGACUAUCAGGCCAGGUGUCAACAAAGUGAGGUUCUUCCAGCUGGGCCCUGCGGCCACUCCCUACUGUGUUGAACUUUUCAUGAAAUGUGGCCAAUAGCACUUAAUAUAGGAUUUCCCUCUGAAUUGCUG
ensembl:lncRNA